rnacentral:rRNA from 1 species
AAGCUCGUAGUUGAAUUUCGGGGUUUACCCAUUGGUCAGGCUUAAUUGUCUGUACUGGUGAGAUAAAUCUCUACCUUCUGAGGAACUUUCAUGCCAUUUAUUUGGUGUGAUUGGAAAUCGGGACUAUUACUUUGAAAAAAUUAGAGUGUUUAAAGCAGGCUAACGUCUGAAUAUAUUAGCAUGGAAUAAUGAAAUAGGACGGCUUGGUUCUAUUUCGUUGGUUUCUAGGAUCACCGUAAUGAUUAAUAGGGAUAGUUGGG